CGGGACAACAGUUGGAAACGACUGCUAAUACCGCAUACGAUCUAAUCUCGGCAUCGAGGAUAGAUGAAAGGUGGCCUCUACAUGUAAGCUAUCACUGAAGGAGGGGAUUGCGUCUGAUUAGCUAGUUGGAGGGGUAACGGCCCACCAAGGCGAUGAUCAGUAGCCGGUCUGAGAGGAUGAACGGCCACAUUGGGACUGAGACACGGCCCAG
rnacentral:rRNA from 1 species